GGUUGGCCUGGGUGAAUAGGGAGAUGUCCUAGCCCCUUGAUCAGAGAGCAGUGGUGAGAGACAUAAUUGCAGAGGCCCCACUCAGUAGCCUUCAGGUAAAAGGAUGAGGAUUCAGACCGUCUGUAAGGAUUG
rnacentral:lncRNA from 1 species